GAUGAACGCUGGCGGCGUGCCUAACACAUGCAAGUCGAACGAACACACGAUGAGCUCGUGCUCUUAAGGUUAGCGGGGGACGGGCGGGUAAGGAGUGCAUAAGCAUCUACUAAGUCGGGGAGAAUAACGUAAAACCGGUGCUAAUACUAGAUCAUAUAAUCUACCGCUGAGUGCAAUAGAUCAUCGCACCUUGCGCGUUUGUAUGAGCUGAUGUCGGAUUAGCUAGUUGGCUGGGUAACGGCACACCAAGGCAACGAUGCGUAGCUGACCUGAGAGGAUGAUCGGCCACACUGGAACUGAGACACGGUCCAGACUCCUACGGGAGGCAGCAGUAGGGAAUCUUCCGCAAUGGGCGAAAGCCUGACGGAGCAACACCGCGUGAGUGAUGAAGGCCUUCGGGUCGUAAAGCUCUGUUAUUGGGAAAGAACAGAUGUGUAAGUAACUACGCACGUCUUGACGGUACCUAAUCAGAAAGCAACGGCUAACUACGUG
rnacentral:rRNA from 1 species